rnacentral:rRNA from 1 species
UAAUGAACAAGGCCCCGCCGUGUUAAAAAGCGCGCGGGUGUCUAUUCUUACCCUUCUCACCCAUUGUGCACACUGAUCGCGCSYSCCGAAGCCGGCUUUGUGGCCUCGCGGCCCUCAGUCUGAUGGAGGUCGCGUGAGAUGGCUUUGUCCCAAUCUAUGAAGUCGUUCGAUGUGAUGAAUUUUGGAAAUCUUAACAACUCCUGACGACGGAUCUCUCGGCUCCCACACCGAUGAAGAACGUGGCUAAAUGCGAUAAGUGAUGUGAAUUGCAGAACGCUCAGUGAAUCAUCGAAUCUUUGAACGCACCUUGCGCUCCCUGGUACUCCGGGGAGCAUGCCCGUUUGAGUGUCGUGUGCCUCUUCACCGGAACCGCUGUGACUCGUUCACUUUGGUUUGCAGGUGGCGGUGGGAUCGUUGGCCCCCUCGGGGGUCUACCUUCCUCAAAUUGAUCAGCGAUGCCCGGUCCCGAAACCUUUGGUAUGCGUGGGUGUUAAAUUUUACUGCCUUCGUUCCAUCGGCCGAGGGACUCUUGUGGAGUCUUCGCUUUCUAACCGUCCUUCUUGGACAACACACUCUCGCUCUGACCUCAAAUCGGGUAGGGUUACCCGCUGAAUUUAAGCAUAUCA